GAUGAACGCUAGCGGCAGGCCUAACACAUGCAAGUCGAGGGAGAAGCCCUUUCGGGGGCAGAAACCGGCGCACGGGUGCGUAACGCGUAUGCAACCUACCUUUCACAGGGGGAUAGCCCGAAGAAAUUUGGAUUAAUACCCCAUAAUAUUGUUGGAUGGCAUCAUUUGGCAAUUAAAACUGCGGUGGUGAAAGAUGGGCAUGCGUCCUAUUAGCUAGUUGGAGUGGUAACGGCACCCCAAGGCUACGAUAGGUAGGGGUCCUGAGAGGGAGAUCCCCCACACCGGUACUGAGACAGGGACCAGACUCCUACGGGAGGCAGCAGUGAGGAAUAUUGGUCAAUGGUCGGAAGACUGAACCAGCCAUGCCGCGUGCAGGAAGAAUGCCUUAUGGGUUGUAAACUGCUUUUAUAUGGGAAGAAUAAGGCGUACGUGUACGUUGAUGACGGUACCAUAUGAAUAAGCAUCGGCUAACUCCGUG
rnacentral:rRNA from 1 species